GAUGAACACUAGCGGCAGGCUUAAUACAUGCAAGUCGAGGGGCAGCAUGAUUGUAGCAAUACAAUUGAUGGCGACCGGCAAACGGGUGCGGAACACGUACACAACCUCCCAAUAAGUGGGGAAUAGCCCAGAGAAAUUUGGAUUAAUACCCCGUAACAUAACGAUGUGGCAUCACAUUGUUAUUAUAGAUUUUUCGCUUAUUGAUGGGUGUGCGGCUGAUUAGAUAGUUGGCGGGGUAACGGCCCACCAAGUCUACGAUCAGUAGCUGAUGUGAGAGCAUGAUCAGCCACACGGGCACUGAGACACGGGCCCGACUCCUACGGGAGGCAGCAGUAAGGAAUAUUGGACAAUGGACGCAAGUCUGAUCCAGCCAUGCCGCGUGAGGGAUUAAGGUCCUCUGGAUUGUAAACUUCUUUUAUAAGGGACGAAAAAAGGCUUUUCUAAGUCGUCUGACGGUACCUUAUGAAUAAGCACCGGCUAACUCCGUGCCAGCCGCCGCAGUAACAC
rnacentral:rRNA from 1 species